ACAAUGGUGGCUAAAACUUCUGGAUCAUGUUUCCAAGGUUUUUAAUGAUCAUGAAUAUCUAAUGAUCAGAAAGCAAUUUAUUAAGCCUUGCAGAGCAUUUUCUUGUCAGUCUUUUACCAUUACGUGUACGUUUAUGUGGCCUCGGGAGGAGUUAACUUAAGUUUAUAUUGGUUUAGAUUUAGACAUAGGAACGUUAACUAUUUUUAAAAGGAAGCACCACUACCCUGAAUCCCGAUGUAAAUAUGAAAUAAUUUUUUAUAUUUUUGCCACUUCGUAAGAUAAAUAUACGCACAUUUUAUAUUCCUACUUUUUUAUACGUUUUAUUAUAAGCGGUUUAACAAUGAUUUAUAGUUUGUUCAACAUCAACCAUUCAGGGUUGAGCGUAAUUAUCAAUCACGUGACAUGAUUCAUACUAACACCAAACUGUGCACUAAACACAUACAAAAUGAAAAUGACAUGAAAAUCGUGACGUUAACAAUUGGCAUCAAAAUUUUACACAAAGUUUAGAUGUCAGAUAUUACCAUUGGUCAUAGGAUCUCUUUCUUGUAUUUCAAGGAUGUAUGUUGGGAAAAAAAUUGAAGAAGUGUUAGGAUGCUCUGUGAUUAUUUCCUUGAAACUCAAGAUAAGGUCAAUACACUUGAAGACAUUCCUCCUCCUGUAAUUGCAACAGGAUUUAGUUAUUAUCUCACCAGUAUAUACAUUAUCUCGUUUUUGUUGCUGUUGAGGAAAAUGAAGUGUGACUUGGCCAUGUGGACCAUGUGGAGUUGCUGACUCAAACAAGAAGAUCACGUUCUUAAAUGUGCAUGUCUCUGAAAUGUAUUUUAGCUUUAAGUUUGAAAACAUUUACACUGCACAACCAAGCUUUCAGUCUGGCUCAAUUCCUGAGCAAGUUUCUAUUCAUCCCAGAUUAUAAUCACUGACGUGCUACAGGCAAUAAGAUUAAAUGAAAAAACGAUUUUACUUUUGUGCUUUUUUUUAGUGUUACUUGGCUAUGUGGACCUUAUGAAGCUACUGGUUCACACAUGACACACAAGAAGACACUGUUGUUUAAUGUGUAUGUUACUGAAAUCUUUUUUUAAAUACAUACGCAUAUA